UUCAAAAUUUCAAAUGUCUUCCUGGAGUGUUUUCCAUUCGACCAGCGACAGGUGGUUGUUUGAAAAUUCAGCUGGUGUAAUCAGGUCACUUUAUUGCAGUCUUUUUGUCUUUCAUCUCUCGAUUCUUUUGACCUCAUAAGACAAAGGAAGCUGGAAAUAAUCUCUAAAGGUUAUGGCGUCAUUUAGCCAACAGUUGUCCUUGAUUGCUUGUCUGUUUAUUGUGUUGAUUUCCCUCGUGAGAUCAGAGCUGGUCUGUGAGGACAAGACGAAAUCAUGCAAAAAAUGGGCUGGUGAGAAAAACCUUUGUGAUGAAAAUCACAAAUACAAAAAACAGCGCUUCUUUGUCUCGAUGUCAAGGCUUUGUAAGAAGAGUUGUCUUAUGUGUGGGGAUGACGGUAUGCUAUCUUUCAUGUGUACGACU